rnacentral:rRNA from 1 species
AGAAUUAUGUGGAUUAGUAUACUAGAAAUUCAAAGUUUUUGGCGGUUAAAGAUAUUUAGGGGAGCUUGUUCUAUCGUAAUUACUCGUUACAUUAAAUUUUAUUAUAUGCUUAUUUAUUUCCGUUAUUAGAACUUCAAAAUAAAUUAAAAUUUUUAUUUCAGGUCAAUGUGUAGCUUUAUAAUAAGGAAUUAGCUACAUUUAUAAAAUUAAUGGCUAUAAGUUGAAAAUUCUAUUAAAAUUGAACUUAAUAGUAAUUUUUCUAUAAAAAAAUGAAAUAGUCAUAUUUA